CAGUUGAGAAGAAAAAGUACGUAGACUAAUAAUCAUGAUUCAUGACGGUAUCAACAGAAGAAGCACCGGCUAACUACGUGCCAGCAGCCGCGGUAAUACGUAGGGUGCAAGCGUUAAUCGGAAUUACUGGGCGUAAAGGGUGCGCAGGCGGUUCUGUAAGUCAGAUGUGAAAUCCCCGGGCUUAACCUGGGAACUGCGUUUGAAACUGCAGAGCUAGAGUGCAGCAGAGGGAGGUGGAAUUCCAUGUGUAGCAGUGAAAUGCGUAGAGAUAUGGAAGAACAUCGAUGGCGAAGGCAACCUCCUGGGCUAGCACUGACGCUCAUGCACGAAAGCGUGGGGAGCAAACAGGAUUAGAUACCCUGGUAGUCCACGCCCUAAACUAUGUCAACUAGUUGUCGGGUCUUAUUAGACUUGGUAACGUAGCUAACGCGUGAAGUUGACCGCCUGGGGAGUACGGUCGCAAGAUUAAAAACUCAAAGGAAUUGACGGGG
rnacentral:rRNA from 1 species